AAGAGUUGUCAUGUGUGGACUCUGUUACUGAUUCUAUUACACACAAUUAUGACCAUGUGCAGCCUUCUCAUUCUGCUUUUCACACUGAUAGGUGACAGUUUUCAAGCUGACAUCACUUCAACCUCUACAGAACUUCUUGUCUCAGAGGGUGAAACAGCUUCUCUCUCCUGCACAUACAGUGUUGCUGUGAACAAUCUGCAAUGGUAUCGCCAGAAUCCAGGAUCUAAACCAGAAUUCAUCAUCAUGUUGUUUGAAUCCAACAGUGAUCCAGUGAAAUCAACUCCUCCUCAUCCUCGUGCCUCUGGUAAAGUGGACAAAGGCUCUAAACAGGUUCAUCUGAAUAUCUCAUCUGCUGAAGUCUCAGACUCUGCUGUCUACUACUGCGCUCUGAGGCCCACAGUGACAGGAAACCCUACAACACUGUACAAAAACUAAAUUACAUGAAUUCUAUGUGAGCGUACUGUAAGCAAAGUGUAGCCGGAAUG